rnacentral:tRNA from 1 species
GGGCCCAUAGCUCAAUUGGCAGAGCAGCGGCCUUUUAAGCCGCGGGUUGCAGGUUCGAUUCCUGCUGGGCUCA